AUCGCUUCUCAGCCUUUUGGUUAAGAUCAAAGUGAAGUACCUGUUCUUACGAGCUUAAUAUGUGGCAAGUCUCUCAUCGCAGGAUCAGAAUAUUAAACUCAUUUUUGGCUCAUGGCAGAGUGCUACGGCUCGCUCCACCUUUGUCGCGGGUUGGACGGCAUAGCAGUACCGCCGGGGUUUAAAAAAC